CGGUCCCCAGCGACCCUGCGUGCCGCGACGAACUGUCCAGCACCCAGCAAGGUUGCUGGAGCCAUUUCAUGAGCUGAAACAUGUCUCUUCAAUGUGUAAACAGUCUUUGUUUUCAUGCUGCUCAUAAAUUUUAGGUUCAAGGUUUGUGAUCUGUGAAUAUGCCUGUUAAUAAAUCACCUGUGACUAACAAAUUUGGACUAAUAUCCUCCUCUGAUGAAAAACUCUUGAGGUU